CUACGGGCCGCUGCAGUGGGGAACAUUGCACAAUGGAGGAAACUCUGAUGCAGCAACGCCGCGUGGAGGAUGACACUUUUCGGAGCGUAAACUCCUUUUAUAUAGGAAGAAGAUGACGGUACUAUAUGAAUAAGCGCCGGCUAACUCCGUGCCAGCAGCCGCGGUAAUACGGAGGGCGCAAGCGUUACUCGGAAUCACUGGGCGUAAAGAGCGUGUAGGCGGAUUAAAAAGUCAGAAGUGAAAUCCUAUAGCUUAACUAUAGAACUGCUUCUGAAACUCUUGAUCUAGAAUAUAGGAGAGGUAGAUGGAAUUUCUGGUGUAGGGGUAAAAUCCGUAGAGAUCAGAAGGAAUACCGAUUGCGAAGGCGAUCUACUAAAACAUUAUUGACGCUGAGACGCGAAAGCGUGGGGAGCAAACAGGAUUAGAUACCCGCGUAGUC
rnacentral:rRNA from 1 species